CCUACGGGUCGCAGCAGUGGGGAAUAUUGCACAAUGGGCGCAAGCCUGAUGCAGCCAUGCCGCGUGUAUGAAGAAGGCCUUCGGGUUGUAAAGUACUUUCAGCGGGGAGGAAGGUGUUGAGGAUAAUAACCACAGCAAUUGACGUUACCCGCAGAAGAAGCACCGGCUAACUCCGUGCCAGCAGCCGCGGUAAUACGGAGGGUGCAAGCGUCAAUCAGAAUUACUGGGCGUAAAGCGCACGCAGGCGGUCUGUCAAGUCGGAUGUGAAAUCCCCGGGCUCAACCUGGGAACUGCAUUCGAAACUGGCAGGCUAGAGUCUUGUAGAGGGGGUAGAAUUCCAGGUGUAGCGGUGAAAUGCGUAGAGAUCUGGAGGAAUACCGGUGGCGAAGGCGGCCCCCUGGACAAAGACUGACGCUCAGGUGCGAAAGCGUGGAGAGCAAACAGGAUUAGAUACCCGGGUAGUC
rnacentral:rRNA from 1 species